UGCCAGCCGCCGCGGUAAUACGAAGGGUGCUAGCGUUGUUCGGAAUCACUGGGCAUAAAGCGCACGUAGGCGGUCUUGUAAGUGUGAAGUGAAAUCCCACGGCUCACCCGUGGAACUGCUUUGCAUACUGCAAGACUCGAGGACGGUAGGGGAGAGCAGAACUCCUGGUGGAGCGGUGAAAUGCGUAGAUAUCAGGAGGAAUACCGGUGGCGAAGGCGGCUCUCUGGUCCGUUUCUGACGCUGAGGUGCGAAAGCUAGGGUAGCGAACGGGAUUAGAUA
rnacentral:rRNA from 1 species